AACAGCAAUCUCAGUUUCUGGAUCUACAGCGGCAGUUGCUUCAUCCAUAACAAGUAUCUAAAAUAAAUGCAUCAACAUUGAACGAAACAUUCUUCAGGAUAAUGGGAGCCUCUUCUCCGUACGCCAUGCUUACAUUUUGGAAUUUUAUACUUGCUGCCACUGGCCAACCUGAUGGUGGCUGAAGGAUUCGUUGACUGAUGUUACCCUCGCCUACUAAUGUCUACGAAAGUAUGCAAUUGGAUAUAAACUAAUGGGUAAUAAGCUAAUCUUAUAGUGUAUUGAAAUACACCCGAGAUGUGUGCUGCAUAUGAAAGAGCAAGACCAGCUAAGGCUGGUGGAAGUUCGCCUUGUAAAGCUAUUACCAAGAAUGCAGUUAUUGCUAUUACUGUUGCUGAUAAACAGUCGACUCUCACUGCAAGCCACCUCAUGGCUAUCGAACACAUGAACAUACACUGGCUAUUUUCAUCAAACAUGCAAUUGAACCUGUAGAGAACAAAAAUCAUAUAUUGACGUCCCGAGCUCGAGUGAUGAAACUUCUACGACUUCACGCAUAAAGAAAUCACGAGUGAAAGAAAGUUGAAAGAAUUGAUGGACAUAUGAAAUUUAUUGACAUUGAAAAUUCAUCUUUCGAGUAGGUAUUCACCUGGAGUACCCAAUAUCUCAUCAUUUUCUGUGGCAGUAUCGGUGUUGGUGUCGGUGCCCGGAGAACUAACUUCAUUCUCCUUAUCGGAUCGCACCGCUGCUGGAUGUAUGUAAUCAGGGAGAAACUUGAGCAUAAGAACAAUAGAUUUUUUAAAUUAUUGGUACCGGACUAUUAAAGCAUUAAGUUGUGCAACCAGAUGCAGUGUUUUUAUAAGCUUCCGACUGUGUGAAUAAGUGUAUGGAAAUUAGCGUAUCAGUAACACUAAAUUAGCGAUUGACUUUAAUGUGCUGUAAAAGACUUAGAAGGGUAACAUUUGCAUAAAGUAAAUUCUAUUAUACCGCAAUUAGGGGUGCCAAAUUAAACUUGUUUGGGUGUUUAUGAAACAGAAGCGAAAUGAAAUAUAAACGCAAGAAGAUAGCAUUCUAGAAAACCUUGAUUCUGCGAAAGGCAACCAUACUUU